AUUGAACGCUGGCGGCAUGCUUUACACAUGCAAGUCGAACGGUAACAGGGAGCUUGCUCCGCUGACGAGCGGCGAACGGGUGAGUAAUGCGUCGGAACGUGCCGAGUAGUGGGGGAUAACGCAUCGAAAGGUGUGCUAAUACCGCAUACGAACUGAGGUUGAAAGUGGGGGACCUUCGGGCCUCACGCUAUUCGAGCGGCCGACGUCUGAUUAGCUAGUUGGGGAGGUAAAGGCUCACCAAGGCGACGAUCAGUAGCGGGUCUGAGAGGAUGAUCCGACACACUGGGGGUGAGACACGGCCCAGACUCCUACGGGAGGCAGCAGGGGGGAAUUUUGGAAAAUGGGCGCAAGCCUGAUCCAGCCAUGCCGCGUGUCUGAAGAAGGCCUUCGGGUUGUAAAGGACUUUUGUCCGGGAGCAAAUGCUGGUGGCUAACAGCCACCGGAGCUGAGAGUACCGGAAGAAUAAGCACCGGCUAACUACGUGCCAGCAGCCGCCGUAACAC
rnacentral:rRNA from 1 species